rnacentral:rRNA from 1 species
UACAGAGGUCCCGAGCGUUGUUCGGAUUCACUGGGCGUAAAGGGUGCGUAGGUGGUGAGGUAAGUCGGAUGUGAAAUCUCCGGGCCUAACCCGGAAAGUGCGGAGGGGACUGCUCGGCUAGAGGAUGGGAGAGGAGCGCGGAAUUCCCGGUGUAGCGGUGAAAUGCGUAGAGAUCGGGAGGAAGGCCGGUGGCGAAGGCGGCGCUCUGGAACAUUUCUGACGCUGAGGCUCGAAAGCGUGGGGAGCAAACAGG